UACGGAGGGGGUUAGCGUUGUUCGGAAUUACUGGGCGUAAAGCGCACGUAGGCGGCUUUGUAAGUUAGAGGUGAAAGCCCAGGGCUUAACCCUGGAAUUGCCUUUAAAACUGCAUCGCUAGAAUUGUGGAGAGGUAAGUGGAAUUCCGAGUGUAGAGGUGAAAUUCGUAGAUAUUCGGAAGAACACCAGUGGCGAAGGCGACUUACUGGACACAUAUUGACGCUGAGGUGCGAAAGCGUGGGGAGCAAACAGG
rnacentral:rRNA from 1 species